rnacentral:lncRNA from 1 species
UUUUUUUUUUUGUUUCCAUUUUAAUUGGUCAUUAUCCCCUCACUGGUGAUAAAAGCCCACCCUUCUUUUUUAUUCACCAUGGAACCACUGUAGUGUGCUGGUUGGACCAUUCAAAUCUUGACUUCACCUUGGACCUUUCACUUGAUUCUGUCUAUUCACCAUCGUUGCACAGGAGAGUUCUGUCUGUGUUUUGUUUCUGAGUCUGGCACCACUCUGAAGGUUUAACUUUGUAGGGAGUCUCUCUCCAGAUAAUUUAAAAAGUUGAAUUCUCCCUAGGAAGUAGCUCAAGAAUUUGAAUAGCCUCUCAAAUUCCACUCACUGGAUUAAUGCUUAAAAAAAUAAUUUUUGUGGCUCAGUGGAAUUGAAUCUGACUAGUAUCCAUGAGGAUUCAGGUUCAAUCCCUAGCCUUGCUCAGUGGGUCCGGGAUCCGGUGUUGCUAUGAGCUAUAGCGUAGGUCGCAGACGCAGCCUGGAUUCUGUGUUGCUGUGGUAUAGGCUGGCAGCUAUAGCACUGAUUCAACCCUCUAGGGGGAACUUUCAUAUGUCGUGUGUGUGGCCCCCAAAAAUAACAACAACGACAACAAAAACAAUAAAGUAAAAUGUGCUUUAAUAAAAAUAAUAAACAAGGCAUUAGCUGAGGAGCUGAUGGCACCACCUGCCUUCAGUACAAGAAUUCAACACCAACGUGUGGGUGUUUGGGAAGAGUUGAUCAGACCGACACUGAAGCCGGAAAUAAGCAGCAGCAGCAGUAGUACCACAAAGCCUGGGAAACACACCCACAAAAUGACAGUACUGAAUUCACAUUCUGGCUGCAUCACUCACCAGCAGUGUGACCUCUGGCAAGUCAUUUAAAUGUCCUGAGGGUCAGAUUACUCCUUCAUAAAAAGGACACAUUAACACCUUUCCUGUAAGAAUUUGUGAGGACAGAAAGUACCUGACUAGCACAAUCGAUCAUCUUCCUCAUUAUUGUAUUAUAAAGAAACUCUCAAAAGUGUUCUAAAAUAUCCAGAGGGGCUGAUUCCUCCAACAGAGAGGUUCCUGACCAUUAUUGCAGGUAUAGGUUCUGGAUCUCAGAUGGCACCUACGGUAUAAGCAUCUUCAUUGUACUCAAUCCUGAGAUUCCAUCUGCAGUCAGAUUAUGGCUGGGAAAACAUUUUCCCUCUGGCAGCAGCUCUCUCAGGGUGAUAUGAACACACAUGUAUUCUAUAAGUGAAGGGUAUUCGAAAAGAUAAUGCCACAGGAGGAAAAAAAAAGGGUCCCUUUGUGAAGCACCUAUGUUUCCUUUGAAAUAACGGAUUGGCACAUGCCAAUCCUUUAUUGAGUUUUUACCAUCUGUUGAAAUCAUCUCUUCCGGGAGAAACAAAGAAUGAGUUCAGGCUACCUGCCUUGGUUCAUUUGCAAUGAAAAUUUUCACUUCUAAUGAAUGGAAUAUUUUGUGAAAUAAAACAGGCUUAAUUCUGUUAUACAAUCUUGGGUCUCUAUGCUGUAUUCUCCUCCACCCUAUUCUCCUAGCUAUGCUGAAAGAAUGCGAGAGCGCUGAUGGCGGUAUCAAUUAUGCAGCUCUUGAAAAGGGGCUCUGUGAGAGAGAACAUUAAGGUGAACUGCAUGGUUAGUACAUAAUUUCUGCUCUAAGUGGUUUCUGCUCUAAUCUGUCCAUGUCUCUUUCUGUUAUAAGAGUGCAUCUUCAAAAUCUGCCCGCAAAUCAAUGUGGACGUCAGAGGAGAAACAUCAAAACAAUUAUACAAAUUGUGCUUCAUGAGUCUGAUCAGCAGCAAAAAUCAGCUUGAUCAGUGUGUACUCACACCAUUCCAGCAGAAAAAAAAAAUCAAUCAGAAAUAUUGAUCACCGUUUUAUUCUGCUGUCCAAGACAAAUUAAUCAGUAUCACACACGACAAUAACUAUAUAAAAUGACAGUAAUGUUUACCUAAAUUUAUAUUCAAUUUAGAUCAUUAAACAACUAGGUCAUUAGAUCAUUUUAAAAGUAGAGAAAAAGAAUAUGAGAUGUGAAAAAUUCCAAGGUAGAUAACAUUCUUCUAUAACCGUUAUGCACAACAAGCAAAUUCAAUAUCCCCAAAAUACUGAAUCAAUCAUAUAUUAUAUCACAUUUAUGACAAAGAGUGUGUGUGUGUGGUGGGGGGUGUGUGUACACUUUGGAAGGAGAAAGAUUAUGAUAAGACAAGUUUCCAUGUUUACUGCACAAAUAAAAUGCAGCUUAGCUACAAUGACAAAGCUCCUUGGUGGCAGAAGUAAAUCUAGAAUUCACAUAUAUUAUGAACCCUAACGUAGUAUUCUUAUGCCACAUUAAAAAUGCCAAAAAAUAAAUUCCCUUUGACCAAGAACUGCUCCAUCCAUGAGCUGAUCCCUCCUGCCUGGAGAAACCACCUGCCUCUUGUCUUGCGUGAGGAGCCCCCUGGCUCUAUCCCAGCACCACUGCAGAGCUUCUCAGCCUGCACCUCCAAACCUUUGCUGUGUGUAGGCAAGGACAGAGAGAGCGCAGAGCAGAUGGACCUCACAGUAAGUGCCCAAUAUAUGAUAGCUCUUAUCAUUACAAUAACCCACACAGUAAACAUUACUAUAGAUUUUAGGAGUUCCUGUUGUGGAGCAGUGGAAAUGAAUCCAACUAGUAUCCAUGAGGAUGCAGGUUUGAUCCCUGGCCUCAAUCAGUGGGUUAAGGAUCUGGCAUUGCCAUGAGCUGUGGGGGAGGUCGCAGAUGUGGUUCAGAUUCUGCAUUGCUGUGGCUGUGGGACAGGCCAGCAGCUGUAGCUUUGAUUUGACCCCUAGCCUGGGAACCUCCAUAUGCCAUGGGUGUGGCCCUAAAAAGACCAAAAAAAAAAAAAAAAGAUAUUACUAUAUAUUUUAAAGAUGAGGAAACAGUCUUGGUGAGGUUUAAGUAACUUGCCAUAGGACACAAAAUGAACUGAAUCCAGAGUUAUUAAGACAACUGAUUAAGCUGAGUCAUGAUUGUAUGUCUGUCACUUUAAAUUUUAUAAAGUAUAUUGAGGAAAAAAGAAGCCAAGUGUAACAAAAGUGCACCUACUUUUAUACUUAGCAUCAUUUACUAUCCUUUAUAUAUUAUAUUAAUACCAAAUUAGUUAUAGUACAGUUAUAGUGUUUUAUAUCCAUGAUUUAUAUUGUCUUUUAUUUAUAACAUAUAGUUUAGUAUUUAUAUGCUAUUUAUGUUAUAUUUAUGAUAUAUUCAGUAUGCAAUAAUGGUGCUUCAAGAUCAAAUAGAAGCCUUAUGCUCUUUUAAAUACAAUCAUUCCUCCUCCUUACCUUCAUGAGUUAGGGAGGAAAGGCUGACAAGAGCUCAUUCCUUUAUCUUUUUAUUCAAUAAAUAUGUAUUAAACAGGGAGUUUCCAUUGUGACUCAGCAGAAACAAAUCCAACUAGUUUCUAUGAGGAUUCGGGUUUGAUCCCUGGCCUCGCUCAAUGGAUUAAUGAUCCAGCAUUGCCGUGAGCUGUGGUGCAGGUCACAGAUGUAGCUCAGAUCUGGUGUUGCUGUGGCUGUGGUAUAGGCUGGCAGUUGCAGCUCUGAUUUGACCCCUAGCCUGGGAACUUCCAUAUGCUGAGGAUGCAGCCCUAAAAAUCAAUCAAUCAAUCAAUCAAUCAAACAAAUAAACAAUAGGCAUUAAACAUCACAAGGCAAGAUAGAAAGGCAAAGGAUAUUCAAAAUUGACAAAAAAUAAAAUAAAAAAUAUAUAUUAAAGGUCUCUGGGAGAAGAUGAUUUUCUGGUGGGAAAGAAAUGUGUAAACAAUUCAUUACAACCAGUGAGGUCACUGGCAAUCUGAGUGUGUGGCGCCCUGCAGAAAAGCCCUCCAUCUGGCUAAAGAAGACAGGGAGUCAGCCUGGGCAGGUUCCAGACUAACUAACUCACUGGUUUAUCUGGCCAGUGUUGACUGGGUUCCAUCAAACCCCUUGCCCCUGUUGAGGUCCUGGAGACAAGUGCUGUGAACAAAGCACGAUCCCGCCUUCCAUUUGGCACCUCACAAUCCCAAUGAACCCCCCAGGAAAAGUGCUGCUCAGCUAUUUAGCAAGGAUUCUAGAAACAUUCUGAAAAUGUUUCCCUCUCCUUCUCACUUUUUUCUCUCAUUCACAUUUAAUUUAAUCAGAAAGAGUCUCAAUGGAGCUUCAGCAGAGCAAAGCAACAAAAUAACCUGGGAAACUUGAUUUGCUAAUUGGGCUGAUUGAGGUCGUUUUUAGCAUGGUGCACACAGGCUUAAAUGCUCUCUAAGUAGAAGGCGUGUGCAGCCUGCAGAAAAAACCAAGUUCUCCUUGAAAUCCUGUUUGGGAGCCCAGCAAGUCACUUCAGUAAUUCAGCAUCACACCUGAAGCAUUCAAGCUUCAACAAGGCUCUGUAUGCAAUCGACUUGCAGAUUUUCUUUCACUUCCUUUUUCUGUUUAGAACUAGAAUCCUGAAAGCUUUAUCUUGUUGCUUUGCCUUAGCUCACUCCGAACAUGAUUUCAAAAUUCUUUACAUUUCUAGCUAAAAGAACAAAGAACCACAAUUUUCUGACUGUAAGAAUUCCUCACAAGAGCAAAAGCAAAUCAGGAUAUGGCAAUUGGGUGAUGAGAAACUUGAAGAAAGCUUUUUAACAUACAAUCCCAAAUUCUUCCUCGAAGAACAUCUUGGCUAACAGAGUUUUGCCUUGCUGAAUUAGGGGAAAAAAAUCUUUCAAGGACAGCAUUAAGAUUGAACAAGUUUCUUUGGGUUCUCUCUAUUACAAGAAAUUGAAUCACUUCGGUCCCAAGUCCCUUAAAUUCUGGCUUUUGAUUGCCUAAUUUGUAAAACUUCUCAGCUACCUUGCCAGCCUCAUAGAGUUGUAGCUGAGGAUCCUGUAACAAAAGGCAGCAUUUAGAAAACUACAAGAAAAAAUAGAAACCAUUGUGAUGUCACUGUAGAUUUUUGGUUGCUAACACUUUGCUGCCUGUCACUUCUGAAGCAGUGAGAUACCGUAAGAAAAAUACUGGUCUGGGAAUUAAAAGACUUAAGAGGAGUGAGUUUCCGUUUGGAUUUAUCACUAACUAGCUGAUUGACCUGAGAACAAAUCACAUGAUGUUUUCUGAGUUUCAUUUUCCCUACUUAUAAGAGGACUUGACUAUAUUAUUACCAAGUCCCUGUUCAUUACUAAGAAUCAGUACUUCAAUGACCAUCUGUUAAUUCGAUUAUGAUUUGUGUGUUAGUAUCACUAUGGAUCAGGCAGAAAAAGUUGACAUCAAAAUCUGACCAAAGAGGCAAAACGAUAUUAUUAAACAGGCAGGUUAUAAGCACGUGGCAGUGUCUGAGGAAAAAUAUUAUAAGACAACAAAAAAUUAGGCAUGAAGAGAAUAGUCCUGCAAGGUUAAGAACUAGCUGUGAAGCCACAGGCACGUCAUAUAACCUCUCUGAACUUCAGUUCCCUCGUGUAGAAAAUGAAGAGUUUGGGGUCAUGUAAUUAAUCACCCCAUGGCCCUUUCAAUAGCAUCUAACAGAGUCACUG